AGGAUUAACGCUGGCGGCGUGCAUGAAACAUGCAAGUCGAGCGCGGUGUGAUGCGGGGUAACCCAAUUCACAUCUAGCGGCGAACGGGUGAGUAACACGUGAGCAACCUACCUUUGAGUUGGGGAUAGCCCUGGGAAACCAGGAUUAAUACCCGAUGUGGUCACAACAGGACAUCCUGAUGUGAGUAAAGCCGUAAGGCACUCGAUGACGGGACCGCGUCCCAUUAGUUAGUUGGUGGGGUAAUGGCCUACCAAGACUCCGAUGGGUAGCUGGUUUGAGAGAGCGACCAGCCACACUGGGACUGAGAAACGGCCCAGACUCCUACGGGAGGCAGCAGUGAGGAAUUUUCCGCAAUGGGCGAAAGCCUGACGGAGCGACGCCGCGUGUGGGAAGAAGGCCUUCGGGUCGUAAACCACUGUCGAAGGGGACGAUAUUGACGGUACCCUUGGAGGAAGCCCCGGCUAACUACGUGCUAGCAGCCGC
rnacentral:rRNA from 1 species